rnacentral:rRNA from 1 species
UACGAAGGGGGCUAGCGUUGCUCGGAAUCACUGGGCGUAAAGCGCACGUAGGCGGAUUGCUAAGUCAGGGGUGAAAUCCUGGAGCUCAACUCCAGAACUGCCUUUGAUACUGGCGACCUUGAGUCCGGGAGAGGUGAGUGGAACUUCGGAGUGUAGAGGUGAAAUUCGUAGAUAUUCGGAGGAACACCAGUGGCGAAGGCGGCUCCACUGGCU